AAAGGGAAGGUAAUAGCAUGGAGUGUUAUUGCUUUCAUGUUCCAAAGUAACUCACUUUAAAGAUGAUGGAGAUGACUAUUCAUCCUUAAAGUGAGUUACUUUGGAACAUGAAAGCAAUAACACUCCAUGCUAUUACCUUCCCUUU
rnacentral:sRNA from 1 species